GACAGAGGAUGCAAGCGUUAUCCGGAAUGAUUGGGCGUAAAGAGCUCGUAGGUGGCGGGUCACGUCGGGUGUGAAAGCCCGGGGCUUAACCCCGGGUCUGCAUUCGAUACGGGCUUGCUAGGGUCCGGCAGGGGAGACUGGGAAUUCCUGGUGUAGCGGUGAAAUGACGCAGAUAUCAGGAGGAACACCGGUGGCGAAGGCGGGUCUCUGGGGCCGGAC
rnacentral:rRNA from 1 species